rnacentral:rRNA from 1 species
UACGUAGGGUGCAAGCGUUGUCCGGAAUUAUUGGGCGUAAAGAGCUCGUAGGCGGUCUGUCGCGUCGGCUGUGAAAACUCGGGGCUCAACCCCGAGCCUGCAGUCGAUACGGGCAGACUAGAGUGCGGUAGGGGAGACUGGAAUUCCUGGUGUAGCGGUGAAAUGCGCAGAUAUCAGGAGGAACACCGGUGGCGAAGGCGGUUCUCUGGGCGUUAACUGACGCUGAGAAGCGGAAGUGUGGGGAGCAAACAGG